rnacentral:ncRNA from 1 species
CAACUUUAUAGGCAAACUUAUCGAAAGAUAAGGACGCAAAGCCAUGGGUCUAACAAUAUUUAUUAAUGAUUGCCAGGCUGCCGCU